UACGUAGGGUGCAAGCGUUGUCCGGAAUUAUUGGGCGUAAAGGGCUCGUAGGCGGUUUGUCGCGUCGGGAGUGAAAUCCACUGGCUUAACUGGUGGCUUGCUUUCGAUACGGGCAGACUGGAGGUAUGCAGGGGAGAACGGAAUUCCUGGUGUAGCGGUGAAAUGCGCAGAUAUCAGGAGGAACACCGGUGGCGAAGGCGGUCUCUGGGCAUGUCCUGACGCUGAGGAGCGAAAGUGUGGGGGAGCGAACAGG
rnacentral:rRNA from 1 species